rnacentral:rRNA from 1 species
CCUACGAGAGGCAGCAGUAGGGAAUCUUGCACAAUGGGCGAAAGCCUGAUGGAGCAACGCCGCGUGGGUGAAGAAGGUCUUCGGAUCGUAAAACCCUGUUGUUAGAGAAGAAAGUGCGUGAGAGUAACUGUUAACGUUUCGACGGUAUCUAACCAGAAAGCCACGGCUAACUACGUGCGAGCAGCCGCGGUAAUACGUAGGUGGCAAGCGUUAUCCUGAUUGAUUGGGCGUAAAGGGAACGCAGGCGGGCUUGUAAGUCUGAUGUGAAUGCCUUCGGCUUAACCGGAGUAGUGCAUUGGAUACUGGGAGACUUGAGUGCAGAUGAGGAGAGUGGAACGUCAUGUGUAGCUGUGAAAUGCGUAGAUAUAUGGAAGAACACCAGUGGCGAAGGCGGCUCUCUGGUCUGUAACUGACGCUGAGGUUCGAAAGCGUGGGUAGCAAACAGGAUUAGAUACCCUUGUAGUC